UAAUUGCAGAUUAUGAGGUGGUAAGCC
rnacentral:sRNA from 1 species